GCUGAGAUGGCUCAGUGGUUGAGCAUUGGCCUAUGAACCAGAAGGUCAUGGGUUCAAUUCCUAGUCAGGGCA
rnacentral:tRNA from 1 species